CUCCCGGUGGCCUAGCUGGAUAAGGCGUAAGACUGUAAUACAGGCAUUGCAAUCUUAAGAUCGAAUGUUCGACUCAUUCCCGGGAG
rnacentral:tRNA from 1 species